CUGGCCUCAAAUCAGGUAGGACUACCCGCUGAACUUAAGCAUAUCAAUAAGCGGAGGAAAAGAAACUAACAAGGAUUCCCCUAGUAACGGCGAGUGAAGCGGGAAGAGCUCAAAUUUGAAAUCUGGUAGCCUUCGGUUGCCCGAGUUGUAAUCUAGAGAAGUGUUUUCCGUGCCGGCCCAUGUACAAGUCCCUUGGAACAGGGCGUCAUAGAGGGUGAGAAUCCCGUCCUUGACAUGGACCCCCGGUGCUUUGUGAUACACUUUCAACGAGUCGAGUUGUUUGGGAAUGCAGCUCAAAAUGGGUGGUGAAUUCCAUCUAAAGCUAAAUAUUGGCGAGAGACCGAUAGCGAACAAGUACCGUGAGGGAAAGAUGAAAAGCACUUUGGAAAGAGAGUUAAACAGUACGUGAAAUUGUUGAAAGGGAAACGAUUGAAGUCAGUCAUGCUCUUAGGAUUCAGCCGUUCUGCGGUGUAUUUCCUUUGAGUGGGGUCAACAUCAGUUUUGAUCGAUGGAUAAAGGCACGAGGAAGGUAGCACUCUCGGGUGAACUUAUAGCCUCGCGUCAUAUACAUUGAUUGGGACUGAGGAACGCAGCAUGCCUUUAUGGCCGGGAUU
rnacentral:rRNA from 1 species